UGCCAGCCGCCGCGGUAAUACGGAGGGUGCGAGCGUUAAUCGGAAUUACUGGGCGUAAAGCGCGCGUAGGCGGCUUGGUCAGUCGGAUGUGAAAGCCCCGGGCUUAACCUGGGAAUUGCAUUCGAUACUGCCUGGCUAGAGUAUGGGAGAGGGAAGUGGAAUUUCCGGUGUAGCGGUGAAAUGCGUAGAUAUCGGAAGGAACACCAGUUGCGAAGGCGGCUUCCUGGCCCAAUACUGACGCUGAGGUGCGAAAGCGUCGGGAGCGAACAGGAUUAGAUA
rnacentral:rRNA from 1 species